AUGGCUCAGGACGAACGCUGGCGGCGUGCUUCAUACAUGCAAGUCGAACGAGAAGUUGACUUCGGUCAAUGGAAAGUGGCGGACGGGUGAGUAAAAUGUAGAGAAUCUGCCCUAGGAGAGGGGGACAACAGUUGGAAACGACUGCUAAUACCGCAUAUGAGCGUACCUGCAAUGGUAUUCUUGAAAGAUUUAUCGCUCUGGGAUGAGUCUGCAUCUGAUUAGUUAGUUGGCGGUGUAAUGGACCACCAAGACGACGAUCAGUAGCUGGUUUGAGAGGAUGAUCAGCCACAAUGGGACUGAGACACGGCCCAUACUCCUACGGGAGGCAGCAGUAGGGAAUUUUGCGCAAUGGGCGAAAGCCUGACGCCAGCAACGCCGCGUGAUUGAAUAAGCCCUUCGGGGUGUAAAGAUCUGUCAGUGGGGACGAAACUUGACGGUACCCACAGAGGAAGCAUCGGCUAACUCCGUGCCAGCCGCGGC
rnacentral:rRNA from 1 species